UACAGAGGGUGCAAGCGUUAAUCGGAUUUACUGGGCGUAAAGCGUGCGUAGGCGGUUCGCUAAGUCGGUUGUGAAAUCCCUGGGCUUAACCUGGGAACUGCAGUCGAUACUGGCGGACUAGAGUACGGUAGAGGGUGGCGGAACUCCGGGUGUAGCGGUGAAAUGCGUAGAUAUCCGGAAGAACACCGAUGGCGAAGGCAACCACCUGGGCCUGUACUGACGCUGAGGUACGAAAGCGUGGGGAGCAAACGGG
rnacentral:rRNA from 1 species